rnacentral:rRNA from 1 species
AGCGAACGCUGGCGGCAGGCCUAACACAUGCAAGUCGAACGAACUCUUCGGAGUUAGUGGCGGACGGGUGAGUAACACGUGGGAACUUGCCUUUUGGUUCGGAAUAACUCAGGGAAACUUGUGCUAAUACCGCAUGUGCCCUUCGGGGGAAAGAUUUAUCGCCAUUAGAGCGGCCCGCGUCUGAUUAGCUAGUUGGUGAGGUAACGGCUCACCAAGGCGACGAUCAGUAGCUGGUCUGAGAGGAUGACCAGCCACACUGGGACUGAGACACGGCCCAGACUCCUACGGGAGGCAGCAGUGGGGAAUCUUGCGCAAUGGGCGAAAGCCUGACGCAGCCAUGCCGCGUGAAUGAUGAAGGUCUUAGGAUUGUAAAAUUCUUUCACCGGGGACGAUAAUGACGGUACCCGGAGAAGAAGCCCCGGCUAACUUCGUG